UACGAAGGGGGCAAGCGUUGUUCGGAAUUACUGGGCGUAAAGGGUGUGUAGGCGGUGAUAUAAGAUAGGGGUGAAAUCCCGGGGCUCAACCUCGGAAUUGCCUUUAUAACUAUAUUACUAGAGUAACAGAGAGGAUAGUGGAAUACCCAGUGUAGAGGUGAAAUUCGUAGAUAUUGGGUAGAACACCGGUGGCGAAGGCGACUAUCUGGCUGUUUACUGACGCUGAGGCACGAAAGCAUGGGGAUCAAACAGG
rnacentral:rRNA from 1 species